rnacentral:rRNA from 1 species
AGCUCCAAUAGCGUAUAUUAAAGUUGUUGCGGUUAAAAAGCUCGUAGUUGGAUUUCUGUUGAGGACAGGCGGUCCGCACUAUGUGCGUGUAUCUGUUUUGGCCUUGGCAUCCUCUUGGGGAACAAUACUGCGCUUAGUUGCGUGGAUUGGUAUCCAGGACUUUUACUUUGAGGAAAUUAGAGUGUUCACGGCAGGCUCGCGCCUUGAAUAUAUUAGCAUGGAAUAAUACUAUAAGACUUCGGUUUUAUUUUGUUGGUUUCUAAAGCUGAAGUAAUGAUUAAUAGGAACAAUUGGGGGCAUUUGUAUUAACACGUCAGAGGUGGAAUUCUUGGAUUGUGUUACGACAAACUACUGCGAAAGCAUUUGCCAAGGAUGUUUUCA